GAUGAAGAACGCAGUGAAAUGCGAUAAGUAGUGUGAAUUGCAGAAUUCAGUGAAUCAUCGAAUCUUUGAACGCACAUUGCGCCCCCUGGAAUUCCGGGGGGCAUGCCUGUUCGAGCGUCUCAGGGACGAACCCUCGCGCGGGUGUACGCGCGGUCGUGGCUGCGGUGGCGUGCCCGAGGCGGCGGCCACCGCGCUGGAAUCCAUGGGCGGACGCCUGCCGCGUGGCCGAGCGUGAUAUGACGCAUUGGCGCUCGCACGCGGCGAGGCUGCCAGCCCUGGCCCGUCUGUCGGGCGGGGGAGAGCAAGACACGUGAACUCCUCGAAUCAGGUAGGGAUACCCGCUGAACUUAAGCAUAUCAAUAAGCGGAGGA
rnacentral:misc_RNA from 1 species